AUUCACACUCAACUGGCUAUGGAAAUUUUGGACAAACAUUUUUGCAGAGAUGGCAGCUGCUUUUUGGGCCACAGUUUUAGUGACAUCACUGACUGUAAAAAUCUAACAUGUAUAUAUCAUAGUUAUGAUAGCUGUAUCACAACAGCAGAACCUACGGUGUAUAGGAUAAGUGAAGUGGCUGUUAUCUUGUGGAAAAAUAAGUAACUGUUACUCUGGCAAGCAUAUUAAUUAUUGCUUCUUUAUAUUGGGUGUCAUAGAGAUGUCGAGACAUAUCUAGUAGAUAUUUUCUGUGGCCUGUGGAACAAAAAAGUUGUCUGUCUGACUUGCAAAAAUGAAACAGAGAUAUCUGAGAAAUUUCUGUAUGUGCAAGUACAAGUAGAAAGAGGUGAUGCAUCCAGCCAGAGCCUCCUCCACAGUGCCCUAUGUGAAGAAAAAUUGUGUGAUGUUUGAUCCUUUCACACUAUUGUGGGAUAUUGGGAUAUGUUGCAGGUCUUCAUCAAGGAGUUGUGUUACAUUCUCCAACAACAUAUCUAUUACCAACAUGUCUGGCUACAAUUUCAUUGGUGCUAUUUUAUAUGAUGGUGUCAACUACAGCUGUAUCCUCCGGCACAGUAAUAGAUUGCUCAGCCUUUUGGAAAAUACCACUAUAUAUGCCAUUGUUUUUCUUUUUAAUUUUUUGACAGACUUUGUUACUGAAGAGAGGGUUGUAAUCUGCUCAGUAACAUA